AGCCUCUACUUCAAAGAUGCUCCUCCAAACUGCAGCAUGACUAGGGUUGAGAUCAGAAAACUGAAAAUUAGACAAGAAUAAUGUACAGCCACAGAGA